UACAGAGGGGGGCAAGCGUUUGUUCGGAAUUACUGGGCGUAAAGGGCGCGUAGGCGGCCGCCUAAGUCAGACGUGAAAUCCCUCGGCUCAACCGGGGAACUGCGUCUGAUACUGGGUGGCUUGAAUCCGGGAGAGGGAUGCGGAAUUCCAGGUGUAGCGGUGAAAUGCGUAGAUAUCUGGAGGAACACCGGUGGCGAAGGCGGCAUCCUGGAUCGACACUGACGCUGAGGCGCGAAAGCUAGGGGAGCAAACGGG
rnacentral:rRNA from 1 species